AGCUUCGCACAGUGGCAGUAUCAUAGCCAAUGAGGUUUAUCUGAGGUGCGAUUAUUGCUAAUUGAAAACUUUUCCCAAUACCCUGCCAUGACAACUUGAAAUGUAGACGGCGUUGGCAAUUUUUGGCCAUCUCUACAGGGA
ensembl:snRNA U4 U4 spliceosomal RNA